GGUGGUAUAGUGGUUAAGGGCUUGGCUGCCAACCAAAAAGUCGACAGUUUGAAUCUGUCAGCCACCC
rnacentral:tRNA from 1 species